GAUGAACGCUAGCUACAGGCUUAACACAUGCAAGUCGAGGGGUAGCAGGGUAGCAAUACCGCUGACGACCGGCGCACGGGUGAGUAACACGUAUCCAACCUUCCCAUAACUCGGAGAUAGCCUUUCGAAAGAAAGAUUAAUACCCGAUAGUACUUAACAAAGGCAUCUUUGAUAAGUUAAAGAUUUAUUGGUUAUGGAUGGGGAUGCGUUCCAUUAGAUAGUUGGUGAGGUAACGGCUCACCAAGUCUUCGAUGGAUAGGGGUUCUGAGAGGAAGGUCCCCCACAUUGGUACUGAGACACGGACCAAACUCCUACGGGAGGCAGCAGUGAGGAAUAUUGGUCAAUGGGCGAGAGCCUGAACCAGCCAAGUAGCGUGAAGGAUGAAGGUCCUAUGGAUUGUAAACUUCUUUUAUAGUAGAAUAAAGUGACCUACGUGUAGGUUUUUGUAUGUAUACUAUGGAUAAGGAUCGGCUAACUCCGUGCCAGCCGCCGCGGUAAAAC
rnacentral:rRNA from 1 species